rnacentral:misc_RNA from 1 species
UUGUGGAGGAGGACGCCGAAGGUGGGGCUAAUGACUGGGGUGAAGUCGUAACAAGGUAGCCGUACCGGAAGGUGCGGCUGGAUCACCUCCUAACAGGGAGACAACAAAAUGUUAAAUAUUAAUUUUGUCACCUUAGGUCGAUCGGUAUCUCACAUUCUUAAUUCAUUUAAGAAUUUUAUUUCCUAAGUUUUUCUAGGUCACACCCAUCAUUUUUCCUGGGCCAUUAGCUCAGGUGGUUAGAGCGCACCCCUGAUAAGGGUGAGGUCCCUGGUUCAAGUCCAGGAUGGCCCAUAUCUCUAUGUUGGGGGUAUAGCUCAGUUGGUAGAGCGCCUGCUUUGCAAGCAGGAUGUCAGCGGUUCGAGUCCGCUUACCUCCACUGAUUACCACCUCUUCCAUAAUUUAUAGAAGGGAAAUUUUGAGUUGUGAUCUAAUUCUGAACGAAUCUAGCUUCCUAAUUAAACUUAUUAAGAUGCUGGACUCAUUGAAUUCAUUUCAUUGUUUUCAGAGAACCUUGACAACUGCAUAGAUUAUUUUUAAAGACAAUAAGCAUCUUUAAUGAUGCAGAUUUAUUAUUUGUGCGAAUGCAUUAAUAACAAUUCUAUUAAGCUGAUGCUUCAUUUUGAAGUUAUUGGUCAAGCUACAA